AAUAUGGGACAAUGGGGGCAACCCUGAUCCAGCAAUGCCGCGUGUGUGAAGUAGGUCUUCGGAAUNUCAAGCACUUUAAGUUGGGGNGAAGGGCAGGAAGUUCAUACCUUGCUGUUUUCACGUUACCGACAGAAAAAGCACCGGCUAACUGCGUUCCAGCAGCCGCGGUAGUACGAAGGGAGCAAGCGUUAAUCAGAAUUACUGGGCUUAAAGCGCGCGUAGGUGGUUUGUUAAGUUGAGAGUGAGAGCCCCGGGCUCAAACUGGGAUCUGCUUUCAAAACUGGCAAGCUAGAGUAUGGGAGAGGGUGGUGGAAUUUCCUGUGUAGCGGUAAAAUGCGUAGAUAUAGGAAGAAACACCAGUGGCGAAGGCGACUACCUGGACUGAUACUGACACUGAGGUGCGAAAGCGUGGGGAACAAAC
rnacentral:rRNA from 1 species